CCUACUUGCUGCGCCUAGCUGCUGCGCGGUCUGACCGCUCGUGGAGUUUUUCAUGUCUGACUUUAACCGCAUCUAAUACUGUAUUACGGCGUGAGCGCAACAGCGACAACUUAAUAUCGAUGUGUAAGCAGCCUGAGUGGUAGGGUGUUUUCAUCUGAACCCUCCAGCAGGCUAUGCUGCACUAUUGACGUGUUAGCGCGCGGCGCUAACAACUUAGCAACGUGACAUGUCUCUGAGAAAGCGUAAAACACGGACGCUUCUUCUGAAGCGGAAAAUAACACCUCUUCUUAAGCAGAGCAGGAUGUCGCCUCGGCUCGUUCACGGCCGAGCCGGACUGAGCUCGAUAACAUUGACCCAGCACAGCCACUGGGUCGUUGUAGCUGCCACCAGGCCUGCUGAAGGAACUCCAGCGGGUUUCAUCAGACUCGUAAAGUUUCUUGUUUUUGCUGGGGAUUUCUGUAUUUUACCGCUCCCUCCUGCAGUCUUCCCCUAUUAAAAUUUAAAAUGUGUAACUUUAUGUAUUGUGAUGAAUGACUAAUAUUCAUGUUAAACUGAAACGUUAGGCAUUUAGGGGGAAAAAACAAAAUAAUAAACAUUAUACAGAUGUCAAAUAAAUCAAACUGUAAUUAAACUAUAUAUUUUCAAAGUCAUAUAGACAGCAUGAUGGUUUGUGUGAUCUGCGCGGUUUCACUUACACCCCUUUAAUGAUCAGGCUGUUUUUUAUUAUUUUUAUCAGCUGAUAGCAGUUAAAAUUAUGGUAAAAAAUAAUUUUAUCUGUUUUUGAUAACUUAAUGCCCAGGAAGAGCAUCUUCCUGGGCAUUAAAUAUAACCCAAAUGUUUUCUUAUGAGCAGAUCUGAUGAAGGUGUAGACAAGCAGUCUGCAAAGUAAAACUUGUUUAGAGUCCAAACUCUUACUAAAGCUUUUGAAAAGAAAAAAUGGUUGAAUUUUGAGAAAUAUCCACAACAGGGGAGCGAGACCUCUGAAAAAUGUAUAUUUUCUCUGAAUUCAUAGAAUAAUGUGAAGAUUCUGGGAAAAGUUGGGAUUCUGAGAUUAAAACGUAAAUCUUUCUAAUCAUAAUUCUGGCAGUUUUUGUGUCCUUCUGCUGUGGAAAGUCGUGCAACAUGAAGAUACUGAGAAGAUGCUUAAAACCUGUAUUUUUAUUCCAUCCAUAAAUAAAAUCAUGAGUUAUUUUUUUAAUCCAAAUUUGAUCCAAAGGGCCAUCGUUGGUUCCAGACCCGUUCUAGAACAUUCCUCUAAUCUUAAAGUCAUCAUCAGUUUCUUCCUUUUAACAAAUAUUUAUUUGUUCAAAUAUUUAAUAUUUAUAACUGGAAUAUUUGUUCCUCCCUCUCCCACUGCAGUUAGUCCUGUCCUGCAACCCUGUUUUUGCAGCUUAGUGAAGCCAACCAUCACUAACCGGGGGGUGGUUUUGGACCCAGAGAUGCGGAUGGACUCCCACAUUAGCCAGGACCUGAUUGGUGUCCAGAACCUGCUGAAGAAGCACCAGGCUCUGCAGGCUGAGAUCACAGGUCAUGAACCUCGCAUCAAGGCUGUCACCCAGAAAGGAGAGACCAUGGCUGAAGAAGGUCACUUCGCUGGUGAGGAAGUGAAGACUAAACUGUGGGAGCUUCAUGGACGUUGGGACACGCUGAAGGCCAAGGCGUCCCAGAGGAGGCAGGACCUGGAGGACUCUCUGCAGGCCCAGCAGUACUUUGCGGAUGCUAAUGAGGCCGAGUCCUGGAUGAGGGAGAAGGAGCCCAUCGUUGGAAGUCCAGACUAAGGGAAAGACGAGGACUUGGCCGAGGUAUGGAAGUCCCUUCCUGAGAAACUCCAAUCGCUUUUCUUUGCUCUCUUUCCAGUCCUUCAUAAUUAGUGUUUCUGUAUUUGUCAUUUCCUUCGGUUGUCAACCAGACGUCGUUGCUCGUUUGAGCGUCUCAUGGGUUAGGGGUAGAAGUGCUGGCCUCGCACAGGAAGUGAUGACAAACGUGUUCCCGUCGCUCUUAUUUCAAACGGUUUACAAGCUGUGAUGUGUGUUCCCGCUGCAGAGCAGCCAUGACACGUGGCAGCCGGCAGAAGGCUCACGCUUUUCCACUAAACACCCGCAGAGCUACGUCUGCGGUGAACUGAGCAGGGUUUGUUUUACGGUGGCGGAUCCGAUUGGACCAUCGCUGCGAGAAAGCUCCACUUGUGUCAGACGAGCUGAAGGUUCUGAUGUUCUGCUCCACAGGCUCUCCUGAAGAAGCACGAGGCCGUGAUGUCGGACCUGUCGGCUUACGGCAGCAGCAUCCAGGCCCUGAAGGAGCAGGCCCAGUCCUGCAGGCAACAAGGUGAUCAGCAGGUGCUUUUGUCCUGCAGGACCUGAAGGCCAACGAGUCCCGCCUGAGGGACAUCAACAAGGUGGCAUCUGAACUGGAGUCAGAAGGUCUGAUGGCUGAGGAGGCUCCUAUGGUUCAGGCUCAGGUGAGCGUCACCUGUCUGCAGCAGCUGGUCCCUCUCACUUCCUGGUUUAACUCUGCUCGUCUCUGUUUGUAGCAACAAAAACAUCUGGGUUCUGCUCCUGGAAAGGAUGAAGCCGACUCUAACACGGCGUCACCCUGGAAGACCGUACGGUUGGGCGUUCAGACGACGGCUAACUUUAAUUCCAUCAAGGUAAGAGGAAGCUCUUCCCUUCCUGUCUGAGC